UACGUAGGGUGCAAGCGUUAAUCGGAAUUACUGGGCGUAAAGCGUGCGCAGGCGGUUUUGUAAGUCUGUCGUGAAAGCCCCGGGCUCAACCUGGGAAUUGCGAUGGAGACUGCAAGGCUUGAAUCUGGCAGAGGGGGGUAGAAUUCCACGUGUAGCAGUGAAAUGCGUAGAUAUCUGGAGGAACACCGGUGGCGAAGGCGGCAUCCUGGACCAAUACUGACGCUGAGGAGCGAAAGCCAGGGGAGCAAACGGG
rnacentral:rRNA from 1 species